GAUGAACGCUGGCGGCGUGCCUAAUACAUGCAAGUCGAGCGAACGGACGAGAAGCUUGCUUCUCUGAUGUUAGCGGCGGACGGGUGAGUAACACGUGGUUAACCUACCUAUAAGACUGGGAUAACUUCGGGAAACCGGAGCUAAUACCGGAUAAUAUUUUGAACCUCAUGGUUCAAAAGUGAAAGACGGUCUUGCUGUCACUUAUAGAUGGAUCCGCGCUGCAUUAGCUAGUUGGUAAGGUAACGGCUUACCAAGGCAACGAUGCAUAGCCGACCUGAGAGGGUGAUCGCACACACUGGAACUGAGACACGGUCCAGACUCCUACGGGGGGAAGCAGUAGGGAAUCUUACGCGAUGGGCGAAAGCCUGACGGAGCAACGCCGCGUGAGUGAUGAAGGUCUUCGGAUCGUAAAACUAUGUUAUUAGGGAAGAACAUAUGUGUAAGUAACUGUGCACAUCUUGACGGUACCUAAUCAGAAAGCCACGGCUAACUACGUG
rnacentral:rRNA from 1 species